UGCAAGUCGAGCGGACAGAAGGGAGCUUGCUCCCGGAUGUUAGCGGCGGACGGGUGAGUAACACGUGGGUAACCUGCCUGUAAGACUGGGAUAACUCCGGGAAACCGGAGCUAAUACCGGAUAGUUCCUUGAACCGCAUGGUUCAAGGAUGAAAGACGGUUUCGGCUGUCACUUACAGAUGGACCCGCGGCGCAUUAGCUAGUUGGUGAGGUAACGGCUCACCAAGGCGACGAUGCGUAGCCGACCUGAGAGGGUGAUCGGCCACACUGGGACUGAGACACGGCCCAGACUCCUACGGGAGGCAGCAGUAGGGAAUCUUCCGCAAUGGACGAAAGUCUGACGGAGCAACGCCGCGUGAGUGAUGAAGGUUUUCGGAUCGUAAAGCUCUGUUGUUAGGGAAGAACAAGUGCAAGAGUAACUGCUUGCACCUUGACGGUACCUAACCAGAAAGCCACGGCUAACUACGUGCCAGCAGCCGCGGUAAUACGUAGGUGGCAAGCGUUGUCCGGAAUUAUUGGGCGUAAAGGGCUCGCAGGCGGUUUCUUAAGUCUGAUGUGAAAGCCCCCGGCUCAACCGGGGAGGGUCAUUGGAAACUGGGAAACUUGAGUGCAGAAGAGGAGAGUGGAAUUCCACGUGUAGCGGUGAAAUGCGUAGAGAUGUGGAGGAACACCAGUGGCGAAGGCGACUCUCUGGUCUGUAACUGACGCUGAGGAGCGAAAGCGUGGGGAGCGAACAGGAUUAGAUACCCUCGUAGUCCACGCCGUAAACGAUGAGUGCUCACUGUGAAGGGGUUUUCGCCCCUUAGUGCUGCAGCUAACGCAUUAGGCACUCCGCGUCGGGAGUACGGUCGCAAGACUGUAACUCAAAGGAACUGACAGGGGCCCGCACAAGCGGUGGAGCACGUGGUUUAAUUCGAAACAACGCGCAAGACACUUACCACGUCUUGAGUUCCUCUGACAAACCUAUAGAUAGGGCUUUCC
rnacentral:rRNA from 2 species